UACGAAGGGGGCUAGCGUUGCUCGGAAUGACUGGGCGUAAAGGGCGCGUAGGCGGCCCGGACAGUCGGAUGUGAAAUUCCUGGGCUCAACCUGGGGGCUGCAUCCGAGACGUCUGGGCUGGAGUGGGGAAGAGGGUCGUGGAAUUCCCAGUGUAGAGGUGAAAUUCGUAGAUAUUGGGAAGAACACCGGUGGCGAAGGCGGCGACCUGGUCCUUGACUGACGCUGAGGCGCGAAAGCGUGGGGAGCAAACAGG
rnacentral:rRNA from 1 species